GAUGAACGCUGGCGGCGUGCCUAAUACAUGCAAGUCGAGCGAACGGACGAGAAGCUUGCUUCUCUGAUGUUAGCGGCGGACGGGUGAGUAACACGUGGAUAACCUACCUAUAAGACUGGGAUAACUUCGGGAAACCGGAGCUAAUACCGGAUAAUAUUUUGAACCGCAUGGUUCAAAAGUGAAAGACGGUCUUGCUGUCACUUAUAGAUGGAUCCGCGCUGCAUUAGCUAGUUGGUAAGGUAACGGCUUACCAAGGCAACGAUGCAUAGCCGACCUGAGAGGGUGAUCGGACACACUGGAACUGAGACACGGUCCAGACUCCUACGGGAGGCAGCAGUAGGGAAGCUUACGCAAUGGGCGAAAGCCUGACGGAGCAACGCCGCGUGAGUGAUGAAGGUCUUCGGAUCGUAAAACUCUGUUAUUAGGGAAGAACAAAUGUGUAAGUAACUGUGCACAUCUUGACGGUACCUAAUCAGAAAGCCACGGCUAACUACGUG
rnacentral:rRNA from 1 species